AUUGAACGCUGGCGGCAGGCCUAACACAUGCAAGUCGAGCGGAGCGGCGGACGGGCGAGUAAUGCAUAGGAAUCUGCCUGGUAGUGGGGGAUAACGUCCGGAAACGGGCGCUAAUACCGCAUACUAUCAGAUGAGCCUAGGUCGGAUUAGCUAGUUGGUGGGGUAACGGCCUACCAAGGCGGCGAUCCGUAACUGGUCUGAGAGGAUGAUCAGUCACACUGGAACUGAGACACGGUCCAGACUCCUACGGGAGGCAGCAGUGGGGAAUAUUGGGCAAUGGGCGAAAGCCUGACCCAGCCAUGCCGCGUGUGUGAUGAAGGUCUUCGGAUUGUAAAGCACUUUAAGUUGGGAAGCGGUACCAACAGAGUAAGCACCGGCUAACUACGUGCCAGCCGCCGCGGUAAUUC
rnacentral:rRNA from 1 species